rnacentral:rRNA from 1 species
AUUGAACGCUGGCGGCAGGCCUAACACAUGCAAGUCGAACGAGUGGCGGACGGGUGAGUAAUGUCUGGGAAACUGCCCGAUGGAGGGGGAUAACUACUGGAAACGGUAGCUAAUACCGCAUACCAUCGGAUGUGCCCAGAUGGGAUUAGCUUGUGGGUGAGGUAACGGCUCACCUAGGCGACGAUCCCUAGCUGGUCUGAGAGGAUGACCAGCCACAAGGGAACUGAGAAACGGGGCAGACUCCUACGGGAGGCAGCAGUGGGGAAUAUGGGACAAUGGGCGCAAGCCUGAUGCAGCCAUGCGGCGUGGAGGAAGAAGGCCUUCGGGUUGUAAAGUACUUUCAGCGGGGAGGCGUUACCCGCAGAAGAAGCACCGGCUAACUCCGUGCCAGAAGCCGCGGUAAUAC